UACGAAGGGUGCAACCGUUGCUCGGAAUUAUUGGGCGUAAAGCGCACGUAGGCGGCUUAGUAAGUUGGAUGUGAAAUCCCUCGGCUUAACCAAGGAAGUGCAUCCAAAACUACUGAGCUUGAGUACUAAAGAGGAUCGCGGAAUUCCCGGUGUAGAGGUGAAAUUCGUAGAUAUCGGGAGGAACACCAGUGGCGAAGGCGGCGAUCUGGGUAGAUACUGACGCUGAGGUGCGAAAGCGUGGGGAACAAACAGG
rnacentral:rRNA from 1 species